CCGUACAAGACUCGAGCUGUGUUACACGCCUUAACGAUAUGGUUCAACUGUCGGUCAGGCCUGGGCCUGGCGCUGGGCCAGACCGCAAUCAAUGGGACACAGAACCUCCCCCUUUCAGAUCAUCACGAAGGCUCAUAUUAUCUCCUUUUCGUCGUGCUGGUUAAAUUUAUGGAGCAGAACCCUGAAGCCGCAUUCCUUGGCCUGGGCCGGCCCACGCGGCCCUCCUUCCCUUUGUUCGGUACUGUAAGCGAGCCGUGCUCUGGAGGACUGCAGGGUUGUUAGUUCAGGCGCUGACUGUUUGCUCAUGACUGAAAUGAAAGAGUUCAGUGGAAGGGCAAAAGGACAGCCCAAGUGUAAAACCCCAUCCCAGCAGGCCCUGGGCCCUACAUAUAGGCCCGGAGCUGUUCCUGAACGUAUGACUGCACUUGGUUCUCACGAAAGCAAAAUCUCCGGUCUGAUCUCUGCUAAACCAUCUCUGAGACGGCAACCGGGUCUUCCUGGGGCGCACCUCCAGGUGAACGUGUGAAUUCGGGGGUACCGUCAGGGCAAGCCUGCCCUCAGAGCAUGAAAAGGAGCCACGGUCCACCGCCAUACGCUCCAGUCUUCCCAGGCCCGCAGGGGACGAGAACGCAAACACUGACUGGUAGCUGGUCUGAGCUUUAAUACUGAUCCAGGAAAAAGUACUCAUUUUCCAGCCCUUGGCUACAAGGCUGGGACGCUCCGAAGGGAGGCAGCAGGGGAUCCGGUGUCCUGUCCUCAAACCGGAGAAGGUCCUGGGUCUGCCCACGAGCUCUCUCCUGGAUCUGGAGUAUCUCCGAUUAGUACACAAAGGGUGGAACAAUCAGCCUGACGGGCAGGCCUUCGCUUCAGUUUUGGAGUUUAAUCCCAGAGGACGCCAUCUGAAUGCAGGCUCUCCAAGGGGUGAGCUGCCAACCCACGGCCCAUCAUGUGAACCAGCAUGGCUGUGAGGGUCCACCUCUAAAUGAGGCUACUGGGAGUCUAGAGUGAUUGCCAGAACCCUUCCAACCAAAGUCUAAGCAUUAAAGAGCAAGGAGUGAGAGGAGCAGAGGGGAAAAACAAAACCCUAAGCCAAAAGUAAACCAAAGACGUGCUGAGAGGACCAGGUAGGAGAGCCUCUGAGGGGGGUCACUGCUGGCUCUAAUUUAGAAGCACUUUCCUGCCAGUUUGGCCUUUUUGGGGGCCAGUGUUAUGCCGUGCUAGCCUAGGCCCAAGCUUGUGACACGGUACUAGACUAGGACUAGCACACUAGCAACAACACGCGCAUCUUGGAUGGAGUCUGGCGAGGCCAGCGGUCUGCUCCAAAUGUGGGCCGCGUUCAAUCCGGAGGUGAAAGUCGUGCCUCCUGAUGGGAACUAACCAUGUGUUUAUUUCUUUUUCUUUCUUUCUUUUUUUUCUUUUUCUUUUUUUUUUUUACCAUGUGUUUAUUUCUGAAUGAACUGUACACACAUUUUUGUGUUUUCCUCAAAGAUUUCCUUGUCCCCUGUGCUGAUGAGAUGAGCCAAUGACUCUGUCACUUGAAAGCCCAAAGCACCUUUUUCUGGGUAGACAGGAGGUGCCAUGGAAUGAAUGGAUCACAGAAAACUGUCUCUAGCUACUGAGAAUCCCUGUUUCUAUGGCACUUCUUCCACUGUAUACUAUUUGUUCUGGGUUUAUUAAAAAAAAAAAAAAGUUACAGAGAACUACUGAAGUCAGGAAAGAGAAAAGGGCAAGAAAAAGUUAGGUAGGCUAAUUUAGGAAAUUCUCAAAAGUAUGUAAUCUAUUCAAUCUGCCUCUAGUUACUCACAUGUGCGUUCGGGGUUCAGUGAAGUCGUUAGUCAUAAGAACGCCUCACCUCUCCCAGGGCAGUGUACAAAGCACCCGCGCACGCCCACAUCAUCGCACAGGUUACAUCGUACUCAGAAACGAAGCCUGUCUCCGCUGGGUGUCCGGGGCCCACAGAAGGUCUUCUGAAGCCUCAUGUGGCCCGUCAGGAGCCCCAAUGCACCAAGAUUCCCUGACAUAUUAACAUGUGGAAAAGCUCACCACUGAGAAUGAGACUCUCUUAUGGGCCAAGAUGGACUUUGAGAGCUUCUACACAGUGAUCUGGAUGCCCCCACUUCCUGGGGGACUUUAUCUCGGGGUCACUUGGAUGACUAUAUUUGGGGACAUACAAUCAACAUAUGAUCAAGCUUUCAUACGUCCUGCCUGGGCUCCUUAUUGGUCCCUGUGCCCAGCUUCCUCCGUGAUGGCGAAGGAGCCCACCCAGUGCCGCUCCUCAGGGAGUUAUUCACCUCAGCUAGGCAGACGUGACCCGGCCAGGAUGCCGCUCACUCCUCGCUCCCUCAGAAGUGGGGAGACUCACCCAAGGAGGGGACAAUAGGCUGCUGGCCCAAAACCACAAGGCAGAGGGACGUCAGGGCUGAAAUCAGGGCUCUGGUCCCACGAUUUAUGACCGUGCCCUCUUGCCAAGAGGCCAUGCUGCCUCCAACACCCAAAGGGAACAUCCAGAUAAGUUAUUUUGAUCGCAGAGACUCAAGUCAAGGAGGAACUGAUCCUACGCUGACACACUGAAAGAAUGUCAACUGCUGUCACUUUGGCACAAUAAAUCCAAUGAUGUUCCACGCCACUCUGUCAGCACCAGCGCUGCAUUUUGGGAAUAACAAUAAAAUCCUGAGAAUCCUAUCCCCAGAUUUAACACAACCACCACAAAAAAGCCUGUGGUAUAUUAGGAUUCAGUAGAAGGUUUUGAAAAAAAAUUUGUUGCCGCACCACUUUGGACGUCUCACACGGUCCCGCGUGAAUUGCCAAGCCGGAGCCACUCCCCUGCGAGCCACCUCCCUCGCCCUGCGACACCCCGAAUCCCCCAGGAGCAGAAGGCAACAGGAGCUACAUUUCCGGGAACAGGACAACUGGGAAGGUGCGCUCCGAAACGAAUUCGGCGAUGAGCACUUAGAACGAGCCCCUCGCCUCUUCCAGAGCCCAGAGAGCCCGUGGCAUCUACAGAAACGAGAGCGAGUUCUUCCUUUUAAGCUCUAGCCCCGCCCCCGAGAGCACUUUGUCGCUUGUUUACCGACCCGGGGACCCAGGGACGGCCUGCACCAGGACCCGCGGGACUCAGGGACAGGCCCGAGGGCGCCGGCGGCCCCACCGGAGGGCCGGACGCUCCCCUCCACAGCCCUCCCUGCACUCGACAGCGGACUGUCGUCGUCUGGAAAACAGAACUGUUUCGGGGAGUGCUGUCCAAACCACGUAAUGCUUUCAAAGCUGUUGACCACAGCGCUGGACGCGCCCGUCAGCUGUCCCAGGCCCCUCACUCCCGGCAGCGGCCCCGCAGGCAGCACAGGCCAACGACUGGAGACACUGGCUACGUAAGGCCCACCCGACAAACCUGGCCCCGGGACAGAUUUCCAUGUCACGGGGCUGCUGGCUGACCUCCGCUCGGCCCCACGGCCGGAUCACUUACAGACGCUAACAAUAGCGCGCGAUCACCUGCUCUUCACACGCGGGUUCAGAGCGAGUUCGUGGCCUCGCACACCUUCGUCAAGGGCUGCUCGUGCCCAAGGCCGCAGGCCCGCGCGGGUUCGCGCCCCACCUGGCCGGGUGCUCGGGGACGGGCGGACGGGCCCACGCGCAGCGCUUGGCCCCAGUGGCGGGGCUGAGAAGACUCUCCCCUCAGGGCCCGCGCGGCCCACGGGGCCCCCAACCCGGCUUCGCGACGUGGGGACCAAGCCGUGUUGCGGGAACCCCUCCCGGCUGCCUGCCAACGCUUGGUUUCUUUUUACACCGGCUACCACAGUGCUACUUCCCAUUUCUUCUCCAGAACUGGGGAAGAUCUGUGAUUUUAUGUUCUUUCCACAUCUCUUUCUAAAACGAGCGCUUCUCUUUGAAGAAAGACCUCUUGCCCUUGGAGUGUCAAGAUAAGAAAACUUUCAGCAACUUCCCUUGGAAACUACAAAACCCCCAUCAGCACCCAGGAUCUAAGUACGCUCGCUCACCAGCUGCCGGCCCCUCUGAAUAGCUUUUAUGGUUCCAGGAGGGGUGGUGACAGGGCCUUGUCACUACCGUGGGGUGUGCUAUUUCUUUCAUGUUCCUGGGAUCUGACAAGAGCCUUCUACAACCUGUUUCUUUACAACACACAGAAUGAGAGAUUAAAGGCCAAGACCAGACUGAAAGCUGGGGUUGGGAGUAGCCACGACUUCUCACCAGAGGCAUUCUAAACCUUCCCGGGAAGGAAGGGCCGCUGGCCGCCCAAGCAGACGCUGCUCAGAAGCAGCCGUGCUGAUUAAAUGAGGUGAUACAUGUAAAGUCCCUACAGCAACGCCUAGAUCACAGCACAGGUCAGAAAGUGGCAGCAAGAACGUUAUUAUUCAAUUUCUCACUACCACCAAGCUUAAAGAAUGCUCUAACAGAAAUAAUGGAGAUGGAUUUUGCUAAAACCACAUUAAUUCAUAGCUACUGGUUGGAUAUGAAGGGGAAAGGACGUCAAGAAAGGAUGAAUGAAUGAGUGAAAAGUCCAAGUUAUAGGGCUCCUGAUUAAAUAUGACAGAUUUAGUCCAGAGACCUCUCUAACGCGAAAGCAAAGGGAUACAGAUGGCACAAAUCCAAAAGGAUAAAGAGAAGGUGUCAACAAUAUUCUAGAAGCUGAAAAGCAGAUGGACACAUGGUGCUGAAAAGUAAGCCUGGGAGUGGGAGCCACAGAGCAAAACCCACCAAAUUUCAGAAACUCGGGCACCAGGCAGCUUGGGCGGCCUGGGCAGAAAGGGAGGAACAGGGAGGCGAGUGUGUCGGGUGGUGAAAACAGUAAGAUGGGCUAAAAGCCUAAAGAGCAGCUAGACCUGCAGCCCGUUCCUCCUCAACACAGGACUGGAGGCCACAGGCCCCCUGUUCUCCCAGCCCGGGAGGGCCCCAGGCCCCGCAAAGGGCUCCGGGCUGCCCACCAGCGCCUCUGCUUUAAAGAGGAGCAGAACGGUCAAGAAACACCCACCUGAGGACUGUCUCUGUUCAUGAAAGAAAAAGGCCAAAACAAACCAAUGGAAGAAAAAAACUCUAGAGAGCAGUCGGGUCAGUCCGGACAGGAGCAGGGGCACCCAGAGGGAGGAACGUGCAAGAAAAAUCCGAACACCGAUAAACUGCUUCAUCAUGCAUUUUUAAGCACACAGAGAAGACUUUGUGGAUAACUUAGUAAUAGGCAGAUAGAAAAAAAACAUUUUCUUAAGGACUUACUACACUUGGAGCAAGAAAAGCUGAAAGUGAGUAAGAGUUUGAGGAUGAAAUGGGAAUAUGCAUGUGGCAAACUAAGCAAACAACAAUAAUCAAAGUUACUAACUCCAAGGAGAAAAAAGAAACCAGAAAGGAAACAUAGUCAUAGUAACCUAGGUAGCUUCCCUGGGAAUGCUGUUGGUAUAGUCAGAAUAACGUAAAAACUGAAUACUGAUUAACCCAAAAAGAACAAUAUACCUAGACUAACAAGAAGGGGAGGGACUAGGAAGUCCAAUGAUAGCAAGAAAUAGCACUUUUUUUUUUUUUUUUUUUUUUUUUUAAGAAACACAAAAGCAAAUACUUCCAAAUCAAAAGUGUUGAAAGUGGUUGUCUCUGGGGGAGCAGAAAUCAGAGGUAGGGAAAAGUGGGGCAGGAGAUUGGUGGUUUUUAUUUUCAGACAUGUAGAAGUCUUUUGAUUUUUAAAAGGGUGGACAUAUAUCUACUUUGACAAAAUACAAUUUAAUUUUAAAAGACCCACAGGGAGUCUGCUUCUCCCUCUGCCUGUGUCUCUGCCUCUGUCUGUCAUGAAUAAAUAAAAUCUUUAGAAAAAAAUUUGUUAUAGUGAGAUAAUCAUGGUCAAAGUCAUAGCUUUUUAAAAUCGUUGUUUUUAUUAAUACAGAAAUUAAAUAAUAGUUAGCAAUAGAAGGUAGAAAGAGCAGAGAUCAUUGAAGAGUUUUGAAAGAGUAGUGACAGACCUGUUCAUAAGGUUGGAAAAACCGCCAAGCCUCCCCAAAAUAGAGCACAACACAAAUGCAAGUUGCGGUUUCCAAGAACAAACAGUAAAUCAAGUCACUAAUAAAGAGGUACUUCAAGGAAGUGAUAGGAAACUUGUUUUAAUAAGCAUGAGACCAAAUUAAAAGUAUUAACAUACAAACAACUUGGUGAUUCUCAAGAAUCUGGAAGAUUCUUCAAAGCAGUUUGUCCUCGAGUAUUUAAAUAUUCUCAGCACUGAAUACCUAGGAUAUGCCCGGAACACAGGAGAAGGCAACACUUCACCAAUUAAUGCAUCUCUGCUGUCAAUCUGCCUAUACUUGAACCAGUGUGUUUACCAAGCAACCGAUCAGAGCAUCUCACGUUUAGAAUCAGCCCAACUGAACUAACGGGGCCCCUCAACAAGUCAAGCAAAAAACAGAGUAAGUCUCAGAGGCUCUCAUCUUUUCACGAGGGAUAUGAACACCCACAUGGUGAUCCGGCCUUUCGCGCCUCCAGAAGUGGGCAGGUGCCAGUCAUUACCAUCCUGCCUGUGCUGCUGCGGUGGAUCUGGGAAGUCUAAAGAACGGAUGAACUUUGCCCUCUGUCCAUCCUGGCCCACGCAGGGAGGUUCCAUCGGAUCCAACUGGUCCGAAGGCCCCAGGAUUCCCGUGGCCCACCCUCCCCACAAAGACAAGCCAAGUUGGGCUCUGAGUCUCCUCUGAAGUUUCCUGCAGUCCCCGGGAUUUCAUGAUGCUGCCUGGGUCACCCCUGGCAUCACCUAUGUUUGAAGUAUGUUUAGGGACAAUCUAGCAGGAGCUGCCUCUGGUGUUAACACAGACCUGCCGCAUAAAACCCGCUUUCCCCCGAGAGUUCAAAGGAGCGCAUCCACAUCCCACGGGCUUGUCCUGCUCCACCAGCCUCGCUGCGGCGGAGCUCAGGUUCUGCUACGUAAACGCCGACCUAGUGCGCACUCCUCCAGGUCCCGACCCAGCUCGGGGCCGAGCCCGCGGGAGCAAGUGGCCUUGGACAGGAUGGACCUUAGGCUUCGGGGUAAGGUGCUCCUCACUCCCCACGCUGCUAAGGUGAGGGACUGAACUGGGUAAAUGAUCGUGAGAGGUCUCCUGGUACGUAACACAAUCUUUCCAAUUGUUACCUCAAGAAACCCAGUAAAAGUCAGGAGCAAACCAGGAGGGCGGACGAGGGCCAGCAGGACACCAAGGUGAAGCGUCCUCUCAUGGGGCUCCCGCUGCUGAAUCCACAUUAGUCCACCGCUGGCGACAGGUGUUACUGGCCAGCGGGGCGACGGAGCAUCAGAGCAUCCCGUCGGGGAAGGAGCCCGGUACGGCGCCUGCUGGCUGGCGCAUACGCGUGGGUGGAAGGAGGUGCGAAGAGUGGCACUGGUUUACAUUUCUGCAAAUCUCCUUAAGUCUUGCUUAAUAGAAAACAGCUGCAUUCUCUUAUCUGCUUCUACAGUCAAUCGCUGUGUGCAGUAUCACACAUUGUGUGGCUUCCAGAAAACUCCACCGUACGUUCAUUAGAGAAUAUUAUUAUAACAAUGGUUAUUUAAAUGUAUAAAAAACAAGUUUGACCUCAUGGAUCCUGGGAAAGGCUGAGGUUCCCUAGGGGUCCUCACACCAUAUUUUGAGAGCCUGUGUUCUAAAAGGACCCACGUGGACAAAUUUUGUGCUCGCUGAGACAUCAGUUUCCUCUACGUAUCUGAGUAAAUCCGCUAAGGACAGAGACGAGGAACGCUGUUAACCCGAUUUGCAUUGAAUUGUAUAAACCCAAUAUAAGAAAAGUUUCCCUUUC